UACGUAGGGGGCAAGCGUUGUCCGGAAUCAUUGGGCGUAAAGCGCGUGUAGGCGGCCAGAAAAGUCCGCUGUGAAAACUCGGAGGCUCAACUUCGAGCUGUCGGUGGAAACUUUCUGGCUAGAGUCCGGAAGAGGAGAGUGGAAUUCCUGGUGUAGCGGUGAAAUGCGCAGAUAUCAGGAAGAACACCCGUGGCGAAGGCGGCUCUCUGGGACGGUACUGACGCUGAGACGCGAAAGCGUGGGGAGCGAACAGG
rnacentral:rRNA from 1 species